GUCCUAGUGCAUAGGUUACAUCCUAUAUUAGCCUACUUCUAGAAGAAAUAAUAUUAUAUAAUGCAUGAAAAACUGGCUUCAAGCCUUACUUAUUGUUUCCAUUAAACAUACAGACAUAUUUUGUAAAUUCAAUGAAUGUUUAUUUUGUAAUAUUUUAGUUUUAGCUUUCUAUCUGUCAUGGUGUUUUUGAACAAUUGUAAAUAUCCAUUUUUCUUCCUUUUGAAAUUGUGGCCAACUCGUUCCUCGUGUUAGUGGUGUUUUGCAAACACGAAGAAAGGGAAAAAAGCGAAUAAACU